AGGACGAACGCUGGCGGCGUGCUUAACACAUGCAAGUCGAGCGGUAAGGCCCUUCGGGGUACACGAGCGGCGAACGGGUGAGUAACACGUGGGUGACCUGCCCUUAGCUCUGGGAUAAGCCUGGGAAACCGGGUCUAAAUACCGGAUAGGACUCCAUGACGCAUGUUGUGGGGUGGAAAGCCUUGUGCGGCUAGGGAUGGGCCCGCGGCCUAUCAGCUUGUUGGUGGGUGAUUGCCUACCAAGGCGACG
rnacentral:rRNA from 1 species